GAUAGAUCCAAGCGCGACUGCUCUCCCCCCUUCUCUACCGCAGCUGCCUGCGACUACUCCCUUUUUCAAUUUGUUGUGGAGCUGGAAAGUGUGUGUGCUGGUGUGUGCUUCCUCCUGUGCUCCGGUUUCGUUGUGCAGCCUCGACGACCUUCUCAGACGAUGCCGCCGAAACGCCCCACCAAGCCUCCUGGUGGCAAGAGUGUGCGCAAGCCUGCUGCCAACCGCACCAAGAUGCGCUCACUGUCCCUUCAAGAAAUGUACGUACGAUCGUGUGCGGAGAUGGGGCUGCGGCCCAAUAGCGCCUUUGCAAGCUUCCUGCCUGACAGAUGCGGCGUCGAUUAUGCCGAGGACACGGUUGACCUUAGCCGAAAUUAUGUGGGGGACAAGGGCAUCGUGCCUAUCCUUGCCACUAUCGAAAAAAUGCCCAACGUUCGCGCCCUCAUCCUCUCCGAAAACGGCUUGCGCAAUCGCGGAGUAGAGCUGUUGUGCGCCAGUGCAGCCAACCUGCCGAACCUCGAGUUCAUUGAACUCUCUGACAACUUUAUCAGCGAAGGUGCGGCUGUGGCUCUCUUCCGACUUAUCGAGCACCACCGCCAACUUCAAGUGGUCGUUUUCGAAAACACUAAAAUACCGGUGCAUUGGAGAGUCAAGCUGCUUGACAUGCUCGCCUCAAAGCGCAGCACGAGGCAGAAGCAACUCCGUGCUUCCAUCCUCGUGAGCUGAGAGGCGCGUCUUUCGAACUCUCCCUGUUGCACGCCACGUGGCACCACGUGGCUUUUUCCCACACAAUCUUCCUUACCGCGCUUGCUGCGCGAGAAAAAAAGGACGGAGAAACUAGAGUUUACUCUUCGAUGUACGUCAGCUGCUCCUCUGCCUCUUAGAGAGAGACACACAGGCCUCGAAACAAACAACAAAAACGACAUGAAGUAGCGCUACCCGAAUCAAAAACAAACAACGGCUGCAUGGCUACUGCGCAUGCCUCUACGUUGUACCCUCUUUAUUAGUUUCUCGCUCGAUCGGCGCUUCUCUCUCCCUCUUCCUCUCACUACUGCCAUCGAGACACACUCGCGAUGGGUACAAGGGGGUCGAUUGGAGGGUAAAAGGCGGUGGGGAGGAGAGCUGGUCAAUGAAAGUAGUUGAGAGCCAGGGGAAUGUAAUUGCUGAAUGCCUCGCCGCCACUUUUCCGCUCUUCGUUCUGAUUUCCAUGGCUGAGUGCAAUGGUAAGCCGCUGAAGGCAUGAUAUCGUACCAAGCCCUUUGGCUGCCACGAGGCCUUGCCCGCCACUUUGCGCCUCCUCACUGUCAAGUGGGCGUGCCCCCUCCUCCUCAUUUCUCCCCUUCCCCGCACGCACAUACGUGAUACUCGGUGUAUUCCUCUCGACCUGGUGGCGUUCCUUCGUCUUCCUCUCUUCCCUUUCAUUCCUCGCAG
rnacentral:misc_RNA from 1 species